UAAAGAGUAUUUGGAGCCAGACAGUAACGAGUUACAAUAAUCCAGCCUGGAAGACACAAAUGCAUCAACUAGUUUUUCCGCAUCACUCUGAGAAAGGAUGUUCCUAAUGUUGAUGAUAUUACAAAGGUGAAAGAAAUCAGUCCUGGUCACCGGCUUUAUGUCAGAAUUAAAGGACAUAUCCUGGUCAAAUAUAACACCAAGGUUUUUCACAGUAGUACUGGAGGCCAAGGUAACGCCAUCCAACAAAAGCAGGUGAUUAAAUAAUGAAUCUCUGACAUGUUUAGAGCCAAAUACGAUAACUUCAGUUUUGUCUGAGUUUAAAAGUAGAAAAGCAGUGGCCCUCAUCCUCUAAGUCUAGUUUCACCACUUCAUCCAACAGCCUGAUUCUCUCCCUCACGUGUCUCUGCUGAGUUUUAUCUGAGUUUAAAAGGUAAAUGAGGCUGAACAUCAGUGUUGAUGUAGUUCCUGAUCGUGGCCGCCGGAGGGCAGUGGUGGCGGUGCUUUAAAAACACUUCCUGGUUCAUGGAAUCGCUCAGGAUCAGGUGGAACUUUGGUUUAUCUCAGCUUCAUCUCCUCCUCCAGUCCCAGCCUCGUUUCUCCUUCUCCUCCAGGUGAAGGUAAACCAGCCUCGUGUCUCCAGGUGAAGGUUAACCAGCCUCGUGUCUCCAGGUGAAGGUAAACCAGCCUCGUGUCUCCAGGUGAAGGUAAACCAGCCUCGUGUCUCCUCCAGGUGAAACCAGCCUCGUGAAGACUGAUGGUGAAUCCAGGAUUUUUCUUUCCAGAUGAAAACUCGUCGUCGUCUGACUUCGUACUGAACCUUUCGUUCAGUAUAUCCACUGUUACUCCUUGAAGGAAACUGAAUUGAAGUGUGAUUUAAUGUAAGUGGAGAAAAUAAAAGCUUUUUCUUUUAUCA